rnacentral:tRNA from 1 species
CGCUCGGUGGUGCAAGGGUGGCACGCAGGCCUCAUAAGCCUGAGGUUCGGGGUUCGAGUCCCUGCCGAGCGA